rnacentral:rRNA from 1 species
GACGAACGCUGGCGGCGUGCUUAACACAUGCAAGUCGAACGGAAAGGCCCUGCUUUUGUGGGGUGCUCGAGUGGCGAACGGGUGAGUAACACGUGAGUAACCUGCCCUUGACUUUGGGAUAACUUCAGGAAACUGGGGCUAAUACCGGAUAGGAGCUCCUGCUGCAUGGUGGGGGUUGGAAAGUUUCGGCGGUUGGGGCUGGAAUCGCGGCUUAUCAGCUUGUUGGUGGGGUAGUGGCUGAGCAAGGCUUUGACGGGUAGCCGGCCUGAGAGGGUGACCGGCCACAUUGGGCCUGGGCUACGGCCCAGCCUCCUACGCGAGGCAGCAGUGGGGUAUAUUACACUAUGGGCGGAAGCCUGAUCCAGCCCAGCCGCGCGCGGGAUGACGGCAUUCGGUUAGUAUUCCGCUUUCGCCUGUGCCGAAGCGUGAAUGACGGUAAUGGGUAAAGAAGCACCGGCUAACUCCGUG